UACGGAGGAUCCGAGCGUUAUCCGGAUUUAUUGGGUUUAAAGGGUGCGUAGGUGGAUUGAUAAGUCAGCGGUGAAAGUUUGCAGCUUAACUGUAAAAAUGCCGUUGAAACUGUCGGACUUGAGUGUAAAUGAGGUAGGCGGAAUGCGUGGUGUAGCGGUGAAAUGCAUAGAUAUCACGCAGAACUCCGAUUGCGAAGGCAGCUUACUAAGCUACAACUGACACUGAAGCACGAAAGCGUGGGGAUCAAACAGGAUUAGAUACCCUGGUAGUCCACGCAGUAAACGAUGAUUACUAGCUGUUUGCGAUACACAGUAAGCGGCACAGCGAAAGCGUUAAGUAAUCCACCUGGGGAGUACGCCGGCAACGGUGAAACUCAAAGGAAUUGACGGGGGCCCGCACAAGCGGAGGAACAUGUGGUUUAAUUCGAUGAUACGCGAGGAACCUUACCCGGGUUUGAACGUAGGGAGACAGGGGUGGAAACAUCCUAUUCAGCAAUGACUGCCUACGAGGUGCUGCAUGGUUGUCGUCAGCUCGUGCCGUGAGGUGUCGGCCUAAGUGCCAUAACGAGCGCAACCCUUAUUUCCAGUUACUAACAGGUCAAGCUGAGGACUCUGGAGAGACUGCCAGCGUAAGCUGUGAGGAAGGUGGGGAAGACGUCAAAUCAGCACGGCCCUUACAUCCGGGGCGACACACGUGUUACAAUGGUAAGGACAAAGGGCAGCUACCGGGCGACCGGAUGCGAAUCUCUAAACCUUAUCUCAGUUCGGAUCGGAGUCUGCAACUCGACUCCGUGAAGCUGGAUUCGCUAGUAAUCGCGCAUCAACCAUGGCGCGGUGAAUACGUUCCCGGGCCU
rnacentral:rRNA from 1 species